CUACGGGUGGCUGCAGUGGGGAAUAUUGGACAAUGGGGGAAACCCUGAUCCAGCAAUGCCGCGUGUGUGAAGAAGGCCUGCGGGUUGUAAAGCACUUUCGGUUGGGAGGACUGCUUCUAGCACUAAUAUUGUUGGAAGUUGACGUUACCUUCAGAAGAAGCACCGGCUAACUCCGUGCCAGCAGCCGCGGUAAUACGGAGGGUGCAAGCCUUAAUCGGAAUUACUGGGCGUAAAGCGCGCGUAGGCGGCUAGAUCAGUCGGGUGUGAAAGCCCCGGGCUUAACCUUGGAACUGCAUCCGAUACUGUCUAGCUUGAGUACAGGAGAGGAGAGUGGAAUUCCACAUGUAGCGGUGAAAUGCGUAGAUAUGUGGAGGAACACCAAUGGCGAAGGCAGCUCUCUGGCCUGAUACCGACGCUGAGGUGCGAAAGCGUGGGGAGCAAACAGGAUUAGAUACCCCAGUAGUC
rnacentral:rRNA from 1 species